rnacentral:rRNA from 1 species
GUAGUGGUGCAUGGCCGUUCUUAGUUGGUGGAGUGAUUUGUCUGGUUAAUUCCGUUAACGAACGAGACCUUAACUUGCUAUUUAGUCGCUCGGUCCUUGUCCGUGCGCACUUCAUAGAGGGACUCUGCGGCGUCAAGCUGCGGUGAGGUUUAAGGCAAUAACAGGUCUGUGAUGCCCUUAGAUGUCCUGGGCUGCACGCGCGCUACACUGAUGCUUGCCUCGUGUUUACCCUCGGCCGAUAGGCCUUGGUAACCCCUAGUCUGCAUCGUGUUUGGGAUUGAUCUUUGCAAUUCUAGAUCAUGAACGAGGAAUGCCUAGUAUGCGCAAGUCAUCAGCUUGUGCAGAUUACGUCCCUGCCCCUUUGUAC